rnacentral:rRNA from 1 species
UACGAAGGGGGCUAGCGUUGUUCGGAAUUACUGGGCGUAAAGGGCGCGUAGGCGGUGUGUCAAGUCAGGCGUGAAAGCCCCGGGCUCAACCUGGGAACCGCGCUUGAGACUGGCACGCUCGAGUUCGGGAGAGGAUGGUGGAAUUCCCAGUGUAGAGGUGAAAUUCGUAGAUAUUGGAAGGAACGCCGGUGGCGAAAGCGACACACUGGACCUUGUCUGACGCUGAG